UACGUAGGGUGCGAGCGUUAAUCGGAAUUACUGGGCGUAAAGUGUGCGCAGGCGGCCGAGCAAGUCGAGUGUGAAAGCCCCGGGCUUAACUUGGGAAUUGCGCUCGAAACUACUUGGCUGGAGUGUGGCAGAGGAAGGUGGAAUUCCAGGUGUAGCGGUGAAAUGCGUAGAGAUCUGGAUGAACACCGAUGGCGAAGGCAGCCUUCUGGGCCAACACUGACGCUCAUGCACGAAAGCGUGGGGAGCAAACAGG
rnacentral:rRNA from 1 species